rnacentral:lncRNA from 1 species
CCAGCCCAAUACACGGGAGGGGGACUAUAUAAGAAUCAAUGAAGCUGUCACUAUCACGAACUACCCCACGAUCUGGCAUAUUGGGUACAAUCGCAGAUAAAUACGGUAUAAGCACCACGCCUACACAAUAUCUAUCAUUUACCCAUGGAUCCGAUGGAUAAACGCUAUACGAUCCUAAGCAUGUAUAUAGAUCCAAUCUAACUAAGCCAAGUACAUAACUAUGACAAACUAAGAACAAUAUAAUCUUGAAUAUAAGCAAGUAGAGCAAAGUCAU